AAAAAAAAAAUGGAUACGUGAUCCUGUUGCUUACACGUGCCAAACACUGUAUCAUCUUUCUUUCUUCCCCAAAACACAGCAUCAUCUCUUCUUCCUCCAAAAACCCUUUUCUAUUCUCUCUGUUUACACAGAGAAGCUAUAGAAACAUCCAUCGUUGCCGACACGAGAGAGAUGAAGUCGGUUGAAAAGGCUCGAAAACAAACUUUAGGGUUUCCAAUGAAGACAACGUUUGGAGAAAAAAAAAAAAGAAAAGAGAAAGUCCGACAUAAGGUUUUGUCAAGCUCCAGGGCAUAAGGUUGGGCCAAGUAAGUUCAAACCACAAUACACUGUAUUGGCCAAACCAAAGAUUAAGAAGGUGGAUGAGAAAGUUGAAAGGUAAUACAUAUAUAUUUUCAUAUAAGAUUAAAUAUUUUAGCAGUAGUCUUUUCUUUAUUAUUUUGCUUUAGGAUUGAGCAAAGAUUAUUGUCAUCACAAAGCACAGUAGUCAGCUGAUGCAAUCCCGAAAUUGGAUGAUGAUAUAUGAUAUUCCUAAACUGCAAAAAAAUAUCGAAUGAUGAAAAAAUAUUGGAGGAAAUUACGAAGAGCUCCAAAUGUAUUCUUGUCAAGCUCCAGGGCAUAAGGUUGGGCCAAGUAAGUUCAAACCACAAUACACUGUAUUGGCCAAACCAAAGAUUAAGAAGGUGGAUGAGAAAGUUGAAAGGAUUCAGCAAAGAUUAUUGUCAUCACAAAGCACAGUAGUCAGCUGAUGCAAUCCCGAAAUUGGAUGAUGAUAUAUGAUAUUCCUAAACUGCAAAAAAAUAUCGAAUGAUGAAAAAAUAUUGGAGGAAAUUACGAAGAGCUCCAAAUGUAUUCUCUUAUGCUCACACACAAAGUAAAAUACUGAAUAUUAGAAACGUGAUUAAAGAUUUAGAUACUAUGUACCCUGAUAAUAAAUUGGCAGGUAGUUUUGUUAUAGUUUAAAUUUGAAUGAUUAAGCAUCAGCUCAAUCACCUUUAACAGUUGAAACCGAGGCAUUCCGUUCCGAGGUUGCCAAAGUUUGUGCUGAACUAAAGCUUUGGGUAGAAAAACUAAUUGAGCACCAAGGAAAACUUGAAGUUGCAUCUACCGGAAAACAACUUCUAUAUGAGAAGGUGAGAGGCAUUUAUUAAAUGCUCUCUGCUUUAGAAGUAAAAUACGCAAAGUUUUACUGAUUUAUUUUUGAUGUUUACAUAGACAACAUAUUCUAUGUUUUUAUUUUCUGGUUUCUUCUUCAAAUACGAAUGUUAUUAAUGAUUGACUUCAAUUACGUAUUCAAAUGGUCAGGAACAAUUGUAUGAGAUACAAAAGAGAAUUGUAACAAAUACUUCUAGAAUACAGGACAUGAAAACCGGAUUAAAGAAAAACGAGUUUGAAUCAUCAAAAGCUUACAAAAUAAAAUCUGAACCACGCCCCGAGGAAGACGAUGAUAUUAACUUAGACGAAACGUGACAAAUGGCUCAGACAAACGUGAUAGAUCGCAUGAAUAUUUUAAAGGUGGUGGUUUAUAUUAUAAGCUUUUCUAAUCUAAUUUUAUGAUAUGUGAUUUACACAAAAUGCAUAUGCGUUUGACUUCUUUUCAAAUACAAAUUUAUUCAAGUACCGAAAGACAUAGGGUCGUUCAACUGUGGUGCCUUUGUUGCUGGGACAGUAAGGGAAUGUGGUUAACUUUAGUUCACCAUGUUUACACAAUUGUAAUAUAAUUUUUUACUUGUGUUGUUUUUUAGGGUGUUUUAGACAAUGCGGGAUUCCCGACUGUUGUGGCUGCUCAUUUUGUUCCGGUGGACGGUCAACAAUGACAUCGAACAACUAUUUUGAUAAAGUUUGCUGAGGAGGUAAGAUACUAUGCCAUUUGCCAUUGUUAAAUAUGCUUUCUUUGAUUUCAAAGGUGUUGGUGACUGUCUUAUGUUUUGACUUUCAAUGGAUUUGCUUUUCAAGUAUGACCAUCUUACUCCAACAACAUAAUAGGUAGCCGGCUCACUAGAAGAGGGUAUGAACAUUAAUAUGUGUAUAUAUGAUUAGUGAACGGUAGCUUCUGGUCAACAGGUACCCAUGGUUUACAUUAUAAAUUUAUUUAUUUGAUUUUAAAGUUGAGAUUUUGAUAUGAAGAAUGGGGCUUUGGGCGACAAGCCUUUUUUUAACUAAUUUCUUCUUACCCUUGCCACAACAUAAUCAAGCUGCACCAAAAAGAAGGCGCGCCAGGAAUGAUCGCACAGAAAACCGCUUUUUGGAAGGCGCACAUGACAAAUAAAAAACCUCUGUAAGGAACUUUUUUGAUGGCUACAGAUGAUGAAGUCUAGACAACCGAAACCCGAAAGAAGCCAUCGCUGUACAGAACCUUAAAUAGAAGCAUACCAUUUGUACAAGUUAUCUACAUAGCACGCUAAGUGUUAGUAAGGUAAGUUAUGAUCAACUUUUUGCAGUUAACAUUUUGUAUUUCCAUGAUACGUAAGCUUGGUGAUGUGACUAUGGAAUGUACAUCUAACAAACGCUUGGGUUUUAAUAACUAUGACACAUAUGAAAUGGAUCCCUGCCGCAUUGCGGCGGGUGAUAUUGUACUGUA